UGCUAGCAGCCGCGGUAAUACGUGUGGGGCAAGCGUUGUUCGGAAUUACUGGACUUAAAGGGUGCGUAGGCGGUUUUGUAAGUCAGGGGUGAAAGUCGGUGGGCCCAACCAUCGAAUUGCCUCUGAUACUGCAUGACUUGAGUGUGUUAGGGGAGAGCGGAACGUGUAGUGUAGCGGUGAAAUGCGUAGAUAUUACACGGAAGGCCGGAGCCGAAGGGGGCUCUCUGGGACACAACUGACGCUGAGGCACGAAAGCGUGGGGAGCAAACAGGAUUAGAUA
rnacentral:rRNA from 1 species